GUGCUGGUGGUUCAGUGGUAGAAUACUCGCCUGCCACGCGGGUGGCCCGGAUUCGAUUCCCGGCCGGCGCA
rnacentral:tRNA from 1 species